UAGAGUUUGAUCCUGGCUCAGAUUGAACGCUGGCGGCAUGCCUUACACAUGCAAGUCGAACGGCAGCACGGGGGCAACCCUGGUGGCGAGUGGCGAACGGGUGAGUAAUACAUCGGAACGUGUCCUGUAGUGGGGGAUAGCCCGGCGAAAGCCGGAUUAAUACCGCAUACGAUCUACGGAGGAAAGCGGGGGAUCUUCGGACCUCGCGCUGCAGGGGCGGCCGAUGGCAGAUUAGCUAGUUGGUGGGGUAAAGGCCUACCAAGGCGACGAUCUGUAGCUGGUCUGAGAGGACGACCAGCCACACUGGGACUGAGACACGGCCCAGACUCCUACGGGAGGCAGCAGUGGGGAAUUUUGGACAAUGGGGGCAACCCUGAUCCAGCAAUGCCGCGUGUGUGAAGAAGGCCUUCGGGUUGUAAAGCACUUUUGUCCGGAAAGAAAACUUCGUCCCUAAUAUGGAUGGAGGAUGACGGUACCGGAAGAAUAAGCACCGGCUAACUACGUGCCAGCAGCCGCGGUAAUACGUAGGGUGCGAGCGUUAAUCGGAAUUACUGGGCGUAAAGCGUGCGCAGGCGGUCUGUUAAGACCGAUGUGAAAUCCCCGGGCUUAACCUGGGAACUGCAUUGGUGACUGGCAGGCUAGAGUGUGGCAGAGGGAGGUAGAAUUCCACGUGUAGCAGUGAAAUGCGUAGAGAUGUGGAGGAAUACCGAUGGC
rnacentral:rRNA from 1 species